UUGGUUAAAAUCCAAACACAUAUAAGUCCUCUUUCUAUAAUGACCACUAGAAAUCAGUCUCAUUCUUUUGGUGGUAAUGUGUUAGGUGUCAAACCAGUUGAAUUUCUUGAGUCAUUUUAUAGUUUUAUUUGCUCUGUCCAUCCUUUGACUAAUCAUUUCCUCUAAAUUAUGGGCUCUUAGCCAAUGGCCUCAUUAAUUUGCUACAUUUUUCCUGGGAUUCUCGAGCUGUGAAGGGUAAGAAGUUGCUGAUGGUUGUUGCCCCUCCUUGUUGUGGCUUUGGAUUUUUAUUUGCAUUUUAGCUCCAUAUUAGACCGUUUCAAGCUUUUUAUGUGGCUCUUCAUGUUGAUCUCUUGCUUUAAAUAGGUAUGUGAAGACUUUCAUGUAAUUCCUUUUAAUUAGGCAAAUGAGACUUGAUUCAAUAUUGCCAUCCAUGUUUAGUUUCAUGUGUUCAUUAUUUGACUUGCUAUAUUUGGCCAUUUAUCUUUUGAAAA
rnacentral:lncRNA from 1 species